ACCACAGACAGCUCCUGUCCUGUAUAUUCAUCACGUUAUUCUGAAUGGUUCAGCCCAAGUUAUUGCAUCUGAGUAAUGGUGGCACCUUUAAGAGAGACUUCCUCAAUUAAACUCAGCUGAGAAAGCCAGGCUCCUCCCAUCAGUUCAUCCAGCAACUGCCAUUUCUUUUCAGAACCUUCUCUCCAUCAUUGGUGGUUUCAGAAUUGCAUGUGUAUCUCCUUUUCCUGAUCCUUAGGUUAUAAUAAACUAUUAUUUUAAACAGAAAUCCAGUUGAACCCUUUUGGCAUAUGAAUAGAGUAAACCAAUAAGAGUGCACAGUUUAGCCUGUGGAUGAGUGCAGUUGCCAGGCAGGCUGGUCCUCAAGGCUCAAGAUUUGAGUACAAGUGCUACCUUUGUCACAUAAUUCCUCAUGCGGUCUUUGAGCUUUCAGUCUUGUGGGGGGGGG